AGUUACUAUUGGCCUUUGUCUAACAGGUAAAGCCACUUUCAGUUAGCUAUGGACUUGGCAUGUCAGAUCAUGAUAGCGAGGGGCGGAUUGUAACAGUAGAGUUUGAUUCAUUUUACCUGAUAAGUGGAUAUGUUCCUAAUUCUGGAGAUGGUUUGAGGAGACUGACAUACAGGAUUACAGAAUGGGAUCCAUCUCUCAGUAAUUACAUGAAAGAGCUGGAAAAGUCAAAGCCGUUAAUUUUAACUGGUGAUUUG